GACGAACGCUGGCGGCGUGCCUAAUACAUGCAAGUAGAACGCAGUUGCGAACGGGUGAGUAACGCGUAGGUAACUGCCUCAUAGCGGGGGAUCACUAUUGGAAACGAUAGCUAAUACCGCAUCCUGUGAGAUGGACCUGCGUUGUAUUAGCUAGUUGGUGAGGACAAGGCUCACCAAGGCGACGAUACAUAGCCGACCUGAGAGGGUGAUCGGACACACUUGGACUGAGAAACGGCCCAGACGCCGACGGUAGGCAGCAGUAGGGAAUCUUCGGCAAUGGACGGAAGUCUGAACGAGUAACGCCGCGUGAGGGAAGAAGGUUUUUGGAUCGUAAAGCUCUGUUGUUAGAGAAGCGUUAACUAACCAGAAAGGGACGGCUAACUACGUGCCAGCAGCCGCGGUAAUAC
rnacentral:rRNA from 1 species